CAUGAACUUCUUGAGUUUAGUGUACGAAAUUUCUUCUUUCCAUCUAGGCUGCAGCCAACAUGUGCGGCAAUCUGAACCAGUGCUGUACUCACGAGCCUUGGCUACGACUAGGCGCCAUUAUUGUUGGCGUUUUAUGCGUGACUCUGGGAAUUACGGCCCUUAUUCUUGCUUCGUUUGGUGCCACCUUCUUCUUGCCAUACUACACAGGUUUACUGCGAUGUCACACGGAACAUGAAGUUCCUAUCCAUGUUCUUGAUAUUGGUUGUCAUGGGGCUGAACAUGAUUGUUUGUUCAGUUUUGCUUCUGGUUGCUGCUGUAAAAAACCGUAAUCAAAAGCUUCUUCUGCCCUGGCUUACUGUUGGAGCAUCGAUAUUCACCAUUGGAAUAAAUAUCAUUUAUCUCCUGUUAAAUCUGGUAGCUUGCAUUGGUCCUAGCAGCAUCGUCGCGAUUUUAUUCUGGCUGGUGGUCUACUGCUACUAUCAACAGCUAGAGAAAACUCAACACGAAAAGAAGUUCACUCAAUUCAUCUUCUAGUUCGUAGCAAAACCAUCCAUAAUGUUCCGUUAUACAGCCUUAGCUAUACAGAUAUUAUUUAUUCUGCUUUUAUUAUAAGUCUGUAAGUGUGUGGUGACUGGCGAAAAUGGCAGACGAAGUGAAAAUAUUGGAAACCGCUACGAUUUUCGCCCACGGUUAUCAUAUAACUGCAACGGCAAGUAGAAACAUUUUUUGUUUGCAAGCGAAAGGAAAGGGGUAGAAAACAACCCUUUGCAAACCUAACAGUGGCUCCAACAUUUUCCUGUCAUGUGGAAGGACCUGAUUUCUAUGGAGACCAAUAGUAUCUAGUGAAAUUUACUUUCCAACCUUGAACUUAUUUAUCUAAGUUAAAGUUCGUGAUGUAUUGUUGUUUUGUUUCCAUAAUUGUUUAUUGACUUGCAUUCGGCUGCUCCUGUUGUACUAUUUGUCUUCGCGUAUCUGUGUUAAAGGAAAUUAUCUCCUGCUCACAGUGUGUCAAAUGAAUCGAAAGUAUGUAAUUAACCAUUUUCGUAUAUCUCAAAUGUUCUAUAAAAUAAUCAAUUAA